CCUACGGGUGGCUGCAGUGGGGAAUAUUGCGCAAUGGGCGAAAGCCUGACGCAGCGACGCCGCGUGCGCGAUGAAGGUCUUCGGAUCGUAAACCUCUGUCAGCAGGGAAGAACGGUCACUGUGCUAAUCAGCAGUGAAUUGACGGUACCUGCACAGGAAGCACCGGCUAACUCAGUGCCAGCAGCCGCGGUAAUACGGAGGGUGCGAGCGGUAAUCGGAAUUACUGGGCGUAAAGCGCUCGUAGGCGGUUUGUCAAGUCAAGGGUUAAAUCCCGGGGCUCAACGUGGGAACUGCCUUUGAAACUGGCAAACUAGAGUGUGUGAGAGGAUAGUGGAAUUCCAGGUGUAGGAGUGAAAUGCGUAGAUAUAUGGAGGAACAUCAGAGGCGAAGGCGACUAUCUGGCACAAAACUGACGCUGAGGGGCGAAAGCGUGGGUAGCAAACAGGAUUAGAUACCCGAGUAGUC
rnacentral:rRNA from 1 species